GUGGGGAAUCUUCCGCAAUGGACGAAAGUCUGACGGAGCAACGCCGCGUGAGUGAAGAAGGUUUUCGGAUCGUAAAGCUCUUUCGUUAGGGACGAACGUGCUCUUUGUGAAUAAUGAGGAGUAAUGACGGUACCUAAAUAAGAAGCCACGGCUAACUACGUGCCAGCAGCCGCGGUAAUACGUAGGUGGCAAGCGUUGUCCGGAAUUAUUGGGCGUAAAGCGCGCGCAGGCGGGAUAUCAAGUCUGUCUUAAAAGUGCGAGGCUCAACCUCGUGAGGGGACAGAAACUGGUAUUCUUGAGUGUCGGAGAGGAAAGUGGAAUUCCAAGUGUAGCGGUGAAAUGCGUAGAGAUUUGGAAGAACACCAGUGGCGAAGGAGACUUUCUGGACGAUGUCUGACGCUGAGGCGCGAAAGCUAGGGGAGCGAACGGGAUUAGAAACCCGUGUAGUCC
rnacentral:rRNA from 1 species